rnacentral:rRNA from 1 species
UACAGAGGUCUCAAGCGUUGUUCGGAUUCAUUGGGCGUAAAGGGUGCGUAGGUGGCGUCGUAAGUCGGGUGUGAAAUUUCGGAGCUUAACUCCGAAACUGCAUUCGAUACUGCGGUGCUUGAGGACUGGAGAGGAGACUGGAAUUUACGGUGUAGCAGUGAAAUGCGUAGAGAUCGUAAGGAAGACCAGUGGCGAAGGCGGGUCUCUGGGCCUUACCUGACGCUGAGGAGCGAAAGCGUGGGGAGCGAACAGG